UGGAGCAGUCUGGUAGCUCGUCGGGCUCAUAACCCGAAGGUCGUUGGUUCAAAUCCAGCUCCCGCAACCA
rnacentral:tRNA from 1 species